rnacentral:tRNA from 1 species
GGGUCGAAGCGCGAUACCAUACAUAGCGCAUUGGCCUAGAAUGCCGAAGACGCUGGUUCGAAUCCAGCCGGUGCCCA